rnacentral:rRNA from 1 species
CGUAGGUGGCAAGCGUUGUCCGGAAUUAUUGGGCGUAAAGCGCGCGCAGGCGGCCUUUUAAGUCUGAUGUGAAAGCCCCGGCUUAACCGGGGAGGGUCAUUGGAAACUGGGAGGCUUGAGUGCAGAAGAGGAAAGUGGAAUUCCAAGUGUAGCGGUGAAAUGCGUAGAGAUUUGGAGGAACACCAGUGGCGAAGGCGACUUUCUGGUCUGUUACUGACGCUGAGGCGCGAAAGCGUGGGGAGCAAACAGGAUU